CAUUUCUGAGCGUCUACAGGUUUGCGGUUAUUAAAAAUUUCAAAUGCUUUUUGAAAAGCCUUAUUACUACAAACAUAGCAUAAUGCCUGGAUAUAAUGUGUGGGAAAACGAGACCUAUAGGCUUAGGGUACUUGCGUAGCCAGCUCGAUAAGUGUGGGGGGGGGGGGGGGGGGGGCAUAUUCAUAUAUUCGUAUUCACAGAUCGUAAAGACAAUCAAUUUCAAAAGAAACUAAUAACGCAGAACACAAAUAUAUGAAUAUGUCCCCCCCC